rnacentral:misc_RNA from 1 species
UGGUUCUGGCAUCGAUGAAGAACGCAGCGAAAUGCGAUAAGUAAUGUGAAUUGCAGAAUUCAGUGAAUCAUCGAAUCUUUGAACGCACAUUGCGCCCGCCAGUAUUCUGGCGGGCAUGCCUGUUCGAGCGUCAUUUCAACCACUCAGGCCCUGGUGCCUGGCGUCGGGGUAUUCUGCCUCACGGCAGAAGCCCCUAGAGACAGUGGCGGACCCGCCGCGGCUCCGAGCGCAGUAGUAAAAUAUCUCGCUAUGGAGGUCCGCGGGGGGGUUUCCCGGCCGUAAAAAACUCUCUUUCGCAAGAAAGGAACUCUCAAGGUUGACCUCGGAUCAGGUAGGAAUACCCGCUGA